UACGAAGGGGACUAGCGUUGUUCGGAAUUACUGGGCGUAAAGCGCGCGUAGGCGGAUCGCUAAGUCAGGGGUGAAAUCCCAGGGCUCAACCCUGGAACUGCCUUUGAUACUGACGAUCUGGAGAUCGGGAGAGGUUGGUGGAAUUCCGAGUGUAGAGGUGAAAUUCGUAGAUAUUGGGAGGAACAUCGGUGGCGAAGGCGACCAACUGGUUGGUGAUUGACGCUGAGGCGCGAAAGCGUGGGGAGCAAACAGG
rnacentral:rRNA from 1 species